rnacentral:rRNA from 1 species
GGCGGACGGGUGAGUAAUGCUUGGGAACUUGCCUUUGCGAGGGGGAUAACAGUUGGAAACGACUGCUAAUACCGCAGAAUGUCUACGGACCAAACGGGGCUUAGGCUCCGGCGCACAGAGAGGCCCAAGUGAGAUUAGCUAGAUGGUGAGGUAAAGGCUCACCAUGGCGACGAUCUCUAGCUGUUCUGAGAGGAAGAUCAGCCACACUGGGACUGAGACACGGCCCAGACUCCUACGGGAGGCAGCAGUGGGGAAUAUUGCACAAUGGGGGAAACCCUGAUGCAGCCAUGCCGCGUGUGUGAAGAAGGCCUUCGGGUUGUAAAGCACUUUCAGUUGUGAGGAAAAGUUGGUAGUUAAUACCUGCCAGCCGUGACGUUAACAACAGAAGAAGCACCGGCUAACUCCGUGCCAGCAGCCGCGGUAAUACGGAGGGUGCGAGCGUUAAUCGGAAUUACUGGGCGUAAAGCGCACGCAGGCGGUUUGUUAAGCUAGAUGUGAAAGCCCCGGGCUCAACCUGGGAUGGUCAUUUAGAACUGGCAGACUAGAGUCUUGGAGAGGGGAGUGGAAUUCCAGGUGUAGCGGUGAAAUGCGUAGAUAUCUGGAGGAACAUCAGUGGCGAAGGCGACUCCCUGGCCAAAGACUGACGCUCAUGUGCGAAAGUGUGGGUAGCGAACAGGAUUAGAUACCCUGGUAGUCCACACCGUAAACGCUGUCUACUAGCUGUGUGUGAAUUUAAUUCGUGCGUAGCGAAGCUAACGCGCUAAGUAGACCGCCUGGGGAGUACG